GUUAAGUCGACCGCCUGGGGAGUACGGCCGCAAGGUUAAAACUCAAAUGAAUUGACGGGGGCCCGCACAAGCGGUGGAGCAUGUGGUUUAAUUCGAUGCAACGCGAAGAACCUUACCUGGUCUUGACAUCCACAGAACUUUCCAGAGAUGGAUUGGUGCCUUCGGGAACUGUGAGACAGGUGCUGCAUGGCUGUCGUCAGCUCGUGUUGUGAAAUGUUGGGUUAAGUCCCGCAACGAGCGCAACCCUUAUCCUUUGUUGCCAGCGGUCCGGCCGGGAACUCAAAGGAGACUGCCAGUGAUAAACUGGAGGAAGGUGGGGAUGACGUCAAGUCAUCAUGGCCCUUACGACCAGGGCUACACACGUGCUACAAUGGCGCAUACAAAGAGAAGCGACCUCGCGAGAGCAAGCGGACCUCAUAAAGUGCGUCGUAGUCCGGAUUGGAGUCUGCAACUCGACUCCAUGAAGUCGGAAUCGCUAGUAAUCGUGGAUCAGAAUGCCACGGUGAAUACGUUCCCGGGCCUUGUACACACCGCCCGUCACACCAUGGGAGUGGGUUGCAAAAGAAGUAGGUAGCUUAACCUUCGGGAGGGCGCUUACCACUUUGUGAUUCAUGACUGGGGUGAAGUCGUAACAAGGUAACCGUAGGGGAACCUGCGGUUGGAUCAC
rnacentral:rRNA from 1 species